UACGUAGGGCGCAAGCGUUGUCCGGAAUUAUUGGGCGUAAAGAGCUCGUAGGCGGUUUGUCGCGUCGGAUGUGAAAGCCCGGGGCUUAACCCCGGGUCUGCAUUCGAUACGGGCAGACUAGAGUGUGGUAGGGGAGAUCGGAAUUCCUGGUGUAGCGGUGAAAUGCGCAGAUAUCAGGAGGAACACCGGUGGCGAAGGCGGGUCUCUGGGCCGAUAUUGACGCUGAGGAGCGAAAGCGUGGGGAGCGAACAGG
rnacentral:rRNA from 1 species